AUGUAAGGCCACACUAGCCUGAACACUCCUGAUCUUGUCUGAUCUCAGAAGCCAAGCAGGGUUGGGCCUGGUUAGUACUCAGAUGGGAGAAAUACAGUAACUACCAAGUUUUCCUGCACA
ensembl:rRNA 5S_rRNA 5S ribosomal RNA